CUACGGGCUGCUCCAGUGAGGAAUAUUGCACAAUGGGGGGAACCCUGAUGCAGCGACGCCGCGUGGAGGAUGACGCAUUUCGGUGUGUAAACUCCUUUUAUAUGUCAAGAAAAUGACGGUAGCAUAUGAAUAAGCACCGGCUAACUCCGUGCCAGCAGCCGCGGUAAUACGGAGGGUGCAAGCGUUACUCGGAAUCACUGGGCGUAAAGGACGCGUAGGCGGGUUGGAAAGUCAGGUGUGAAAUCCUACAGCUUAACUGUAGAACUGCACUUGAAACUUCUAAUCUAGAGUAUGGGAGGGGGAGAUGGAAUUAGUGGUGUAGAGGUAAAAUCCGUAGAUAUCACUAGGAAUACCUAAAGCGAAGGCGAUCUCCUGGAACAUUACUGACGCUAAGGCGUGAAAGCGUGGGGAGCAAACAGGAUUAGAUACCCCGGUAGUC
rnacentral:rRNA from 1 species